rnacentral:rRNA from 1 species
GAUGAACGCUGGCGGCGUGCCUAAUACAUGCGAGUUGAGCGAACGGACGAGAAGCUUGCUUCUCUGAUGUUAGCGGCGGACGGGUGAGUAACACGUGGAUAACCUACCUAUAAGACUGGGAUAACUUCGGGAAACCGGAGCUAAUACCGGAUAAUAUUUUGAACCGCAUGGUUCAAAAGUGAAAGACGGUCUUGCUGUCACUUAUAGAUGGAUCCGCGCUGCAUUAGCUAGUUGGUAAGGUAACGGCUUACCAAGGCAACGAUGCAUAGCCGACCUGAGAGGGUGAUCGGCCACACUGGAACUGAGACACGGUCCAGACUCCUACGGGAGGCAGCAGUAGGGAAUCUUCCGCAAUGGGCGAAAGCCUGACGGAGCAACGCCGCGUGAGUGAUGAAGGUCUUCGGAUCGUAAAACUCUGUUAUUAGGGAAGAACAUAUGUGUAAGUAACUGUGCACAUCUUGACGGUACCUAAUCAGAAAGCCACGGCUAACUACGUG